rnacentral:misc_RNA from 1 species
GUUUUGAGCUCAAGUAUAAAAUUAUAUAACUUCCUCUCCUUGUACAAAAUUACUAUUUCCAUCUUCAUCAUCCCACCAUCAUGAGGAGACAAAAUUACAAUUAGUUAAUAGAUGAUAUCAUAAGACAGCUAUAUCUGGGUUUUGAAAAUGAAUUUAUUCAUUAAUUUUUCUAUAUGGCUUAUUAGUUAAUCACUCAGUCGAAAAAUAAAAGAAGGUUUCUUAACUUUUG